CUGGGAUGAUUUAGUUGGGGAUUGGUCCUGCUUUGAGCAGGGGGUUGGACUAGAUGACCUCCUGAAGUCUCUUCCAACCCUAAUCUUCUAUGAUUCUAUGAAAGAACAGAAAUUUAAGUGAUACUAUGGAAGAGAAAAAAAAAAGACAGGUACAAGCAAAAUAAAACAAAACAUGGUUUCUAGUGUCUAAAUUUUAAGAGAUUACAAUAUUCGUCUCAUGCAAUUUCUCACCUAUAGUUAGUUUCCAGAAAUUUCCACCCACAAGGUUGAAGGAUCUAUCUUUCACAGAUUCCUAGGGCUCUGGCCUCUUCUGUCCCUUAAGUGACAGAUAACUAAAAUGUCUUUUUGUUCCCUGUAUAUUUCCCGAAGUCCAUUGUUUCUGCCCCAAGAGCCAGGAAGGCUUCAAGGGGUGCGGACUGUGUUCCCUGAUGUGCUUGUCUCCUCCACCACUCGUUAGCUUGAUGACUGUUUACCUUAUGUGUAAGUAUACUUUCAUUGUCCUCUGCCUGUAAUGAAGCAGGCAGACAGGUAAAUCUACAUUCCUGUAUCUAGGUUUUGUCAGGAUGGUGAAUGCAUUGCCUCCCAAACACAUUUUAGGAACGUAUUUUCAGUACACUUAUAAAACUUUGUACACAACAUAUAUUUACAUCACACAAUGAUUUUUGCGACCAGCAUGUCACCAGUUUACAUAUGAUACCCAUACAUAUUAUGACAACAGUGUGUUGGGCAGUGAGUGUGUCAGGCCUGAUAUAAGUUACAAUAUAGUAGGCCCUCUGCCAGUUGUUAUUGAGGGGCUCUUAGGGUUACAAUCUCCACCACACUUUAAGUCCACCAAAUGAACACUUCAGUCCCAGCAGGUAGAAGAUGCUGGCAUCAAGGUUUGUAUAGUUUGGGUACAGGCUUUAUAACCAAGAAGAGCCGUGCAUAUGCAGGGUCUCCAAUUAUCACAGUAGGUGAUGGAGACCCCAUUCUGUGUCUAUGUUGUGAGGUAGAAAGAUUGUGUCCUUCUGUUCACUCCUGAAUAUUUCAGAGUUGGUUAAAAAGCAAAUCGGGGAUCAGGCACUUCGCAAUUCUAUAGUAUGUAAAUAUCUAGACAUUGGCCUCAGUGAUUCACCAGUGCUUACAUGGAGUGAUAGUAUUUGCUGUUAAAAUAUUCCUUGGCUUCAUUGCAGGUACUAUCUAUAGGCUCAGUAGCGUGCAGGAAGCUCAGCUGCCCAAAUCCCUUGAUUUGCCACUGAACAAAUGCCACUGCAGCAGUGGAUGUAUUGUCCUCUACACCUCCAGCAGAAUAGAACCCAUGUGGACUUCCAACACCCUCCAGCCUGGUACUUCUGUGAGGAAGCCAGACUCCCCAGGCAUUCACCUCUCUCUUUUUCACAGGGAGUGCACCUCUCAUCCUUGGAGGUGUGGCGCUGCACUGUUGGGAUCAAGUCUCCACAGAGAGAGAUAAAGGUCUCCAUCCACAUUGAGAAGUUCUGUACACUGCUGCUCAUCCCAAGUCUCGGGAACCAUUCUUUCCCACUAUUCUGUGAUCGUGGUUCAGACCCCAAAUAGCAUUUCCCCUGGUAUAGUUUGCCAUCAGGCGUGACAGAGGGCAGGGCAUUAGGAGUAAAAUAACAAAUAAACAUGCAUCAGAAUUGGCAAGCUCUGUUCCAGCAAAAUGUUUAAAAGUUCACUGUGUAAACUCUACACAAUGGGAUUAAAAGGAAGCAUUGACUCAG